CUCCCCGUUGCUGACCCCAGGUUCGAUAGUGCCAAUAAGACGCCACCUCGCCAAGAACCAGCUUCGGUGAAGCGACGGGCGGUGUGUGCAAGGAG
rnacentral:rRNA from 1 species